rnacentral:piRNA from 1 species
UGGACUUGAGAAAAUGAGUGUCUAGG